AUGAACACUUUUAUUAUUAGAAUAAAAAUUACAAAUAUAUGCUUGAUAGAUGGAAGGUUUAUUUCAUACAGGGAUAAGCAUGAAGAAAAACUAAACAGUGGUUUAUUUAAAAAAACAUAGGAACUUUCCUUACAUAUCAUGUUAAUCUACAGAUAUGUACUACUUGCAAUCAUGCAUCAUUUAAAAGAAACUUCUUGUUUCACCAUUUAUUGAAAAGUUGAGAUACACAGCAUCUUUUCCUUUCUUGUGAUCCAAUCUUCUCAUUAAAGACAUAACAAGAAUGUGUCCAUAGUACACGGAUGCCCCACUCCCACUAUCAUUUUCUAUGUUCAGGGGACCGUGAAAUUGGGGUCAAAACUUUAAUUUGGAAUUAAAAUAAGAAAGAUCAUAUCAUAGGGAACUGUGUACUAAGUUUAAGUUGAUGUAACUUUAACUUCAUCAAAAACUACCUUGACCAAAAACUUUAACCUGAACUUUGCACUAUCAUUUCCUAUGUUCAGUGGACCAUGAAAUUGGGGUCAAAACUAUAAUUUGGCAUUAAAAUUAGAAAGAAUAUAUCGUGGGGAACAUGUGUAUUAAGGUUCAAGUUGAUUGGACUUAAGCUUCAUCAAAAACUACCUCGACCAAAAACUUUAACCGGACGGACAAACGGAGGCACAGACCAGAAAACAUAAUGCCCCUCUACUAUCGUAGGUGGGGCAUAAAAACAUCAUGGGACAAUAGUUCAUCAGUGAAUUUUACAGGUAGAAACAAUGAAUUGUCUAUUUGUAAAAUCUUUGUCUAAAAGAGUCACAGAACAUUUUAUUUUCAAUUCACUGAAACAUAUAGUUAUGAAGAUACUUGCAAUUCUUAAAAGUUAGAAACUUGGCACUGUUCAAUUAUUUCAGGUUGUUAACCCCCUAGUAGCAGCAGUAAACACCAAAAGAAAAUGAUAUCACAGUUGCUUCACUUGUUUAGAGCUAAAGAAUACUUCAGUUGACUUUUUUCAGAAAGCACUAUCAUAAAUUAAUAAAUCCGGAAUACAA
rnacentral:lncRNA from 1 species